rnacentral:rRNA from 1 species
GAUGAACGCUGGCGGCGUGCCUAAUACAUGCAAGUCGAGCGAACGGACGAGAAGCUUGCUUCUCUGAUGUUAGCGGCGGACGGGUGAGUAACACGUGGAUAACCUACCUAUAAGACUGGGAUAACUUCGGGAAACCGGAGCUAAUACCGGAUAAUAUUUUGAACCGCAUGGUUCAAAAGUGAAAGACGGUCUUGCUGUCACUUAUAGAUGGAUCCGCGCUGCAUUAGCUAGUUGGUAAGGUAACGGCUUACCAAGGCAACGAUGCAUAGCCGACCUGAGAGGGUGAUCGGCCACACUGGAACUGAGACACGGUCCAGACUCCUACGGGAGGCAGCAGUAGGGAAUCUGCCGCAAUGGGCGAAAGCCUGACGGAGCAACGCCGCGUGAGUGAUGAAGGUCUUCGGAUCGUAAAACUCUGUUAUUAGGGAAGAACAUAUGUGUAAGUAACUGUGCACAUCGUGACGGUACCUAAUCAGAAAGCCACGGCUAACGACG